rnacentral:rRNA from 1 species
UACGAAGGGGGCUAGCGUUGUUCGGAAUUACUGGGCGUAAAGGGCGCGUAGGCGGUGUGUCAAGUCAGGCGUGAAAGCCCCGGGCUCAACCUGGGAACAGCGCUUGAGACUGGCACGCUCGAGUUCGGGAGAGGAUGGUGGAAUUCCCAGUGUAGAGGUGAAAUUCGUAGAUAUCGGGAAGAACACCCGUGGCGAAGGCGGCUCUCUGGGACGGUACUGACGCUGAGACGCGAAAGCGUGGGGAGCGAACAGG